UUGCCAGACUCCUACGGGAGGCAGCAGUGGGGAAUAUUGCACAAUGGGGGAAACCCUGAUGCAGCGACGCCGCGUGAGCGAUGAAGUAUUUCGGUAUGUAAAGCUCUAUCAGCAGGGAAGAAAAUGACGGUACCUGACUAAGAAGCCCCGGCUAACUACGUGCCAGCAGCCGCGGUAAUACGUAUGGAGCAAGCGUUAUCCGGAUUUACUGGGUGUAAAGGGAGCGCAGGCGGCCUUGCAAGUCUGAUGUGAAAGGCCGGGGCCCAACCCCGGGACUGCAUUGGGAACUGGCGCGCUGGAGUGCCGGAGGGGUAGGCGGAAUUCCUAGUGUAGCGGUGAAAUGCGUAGAUAUUAGGAGGAACACCAGUGGCGAAGGCGGCCUACUGGACGGUGACUGACGCUGAGGCUCGAAAGCGUGGGGAGCAAACAGGAUUAGAUACCCUUGUA
rnacentral:rRNA from 1 species